rnacentral:rRNA from 1 species
CUGGUUGAUCCUGCCAGAGGUUACUGCUAUCGAGGUUCGACUAAGCCAUGCGAGUCGAAUGUAGCAAUACAUGGCGUACUGCUCAGUAACACGUGGACAACCUGCCCUUAGGUUGGGUAUAAACCCGGGAAACUGGGUAUAAUCCCCUAUAAGUCUCGGCUGCUGGAAUGCACCGAGAUUAAAAGCUCCGGCGCCUAAGGAUGGGUCUGCGGCCUAUCAGGUAGUAGUGGGUGUAGCGUACCUACUAGCCUACGACGGGUACGGGUUGUGAGAGCAAGAGCCCGGAGAUGGAUUCUGAGACACGAAUCCAGGCCCUACGGGGUGCAGCAGGCGCGAAAACUUUACAAUGCUGGCAACAGCGAUAAGGGAACCUCGAGUGCCAGGUUACAAAUCUGGCUGUCGAGAUGCCUAAAAAGCAUUUCAUAGCAAGGGCCGGGCAAGACCGGUGCCAGCCGCCGCGGUAACACCGGCGGCUCGAGUGGUAACCGUUAUUAUUGGGUCUAAAGGGUCUGUAGCCGGCCGGAUAAGUCUCUUGAGAAAUCUGGCAGCUUAACUGUCAGGCUUUCAGGAGAUACUGUCUGGCUCGAGGCCGGGAGAGGUGAGAGGUACUUCAGGGGUUAAGGGGGUGAAAUCUUGUAAUCCUUGAAGGACCACCAGUGGCGAAGGCGUCUCACCAGAACGGACCUGACGGCAAGGGACGAA